GAGGGUAUAGCUCAAGUGGCAGAGUGCAUGCUUAGCAUGCGUGAGGUCCUGGGUUCAACACCUAGUACCUCCU
rnacentral:tRNA from 1 species